rnacentral:lncRNA from 1 species
UGAAGACGUAACAGAUAUUUGGCAUCAUAACGUAGAUGACCCAAGAUGUGUACCCUAUGCAUCAGCAGAUGGCCGACCGUAUGAGGUCAGUUCUUAGAUGAAGCCAGCAUCAUCAGCUUUUAGCCGACUUGGCCUUAACGCCGUCCCAAAUCUCUACAAGCUACGCUAUGGUUCUUACGAACUAGACUAUAGAUUGAAAAACACAGAUAAUCACUAGUGCACUGAUGAUGAUGAGUUGGCAUUCUGUUACAACCUCUCAUUAUUUUUCUAGAUGUGGACAGCUGGUCCUGUAACAACCUGCUAACACCCACUACUCCGACUCUGACAGCCACUACUUUGGCUCUGACAGGCACUAAUCGUUUAGUAAAUUUUUCUAUAAAAGGAAAGGAUAAGAGAAAAAAGAGAGGAUUCUGGAUAUCCUACUCACUCUCAUCAUCUUUCUUAUUCACAAUUCUUCCUCUCCAACACUCUCUGAUUUAACCAUCGGAGGGUCUCCCAUCAAAGAACCCCCACCUUCUUCUCCGACGUAUGCGAAAUUUUUUGUAGUUCCUCAAGAUCCAGAUUGGUACUCGACUAUUCUAGCUUAGCGAAUAAUCUGUGUUUUCUUGCCACCUCACCAUCUAGUCGGAGAGGCACAGCAACAGAUUGACGCUAGAGGAAGGGUAUCAUCCCAUUUUCUGGAGGAAGAUGGUGA